rnacentral:rRNA from 1 species
GGGGAAAGCUUGUCUUCCCUGAGUAAGCCGGGACCUAAGCCCAGGCUAUAAUGCGUAGGCGAAUGGAAAACAGAUUAAUAUUUCUGUGCCAGUCAUAUAUUGUGAUGGAGGGACGCAGAAGGGUAUGCGCGCGGACGAACGGAAGUGUCCGUAGAAGUAUGUAGGAUGACUUGAUAGGAAAAUCCAUUGAGUUAUAUCUGAGGUAUGAUAUACAGUCGUAAGAUGAAUGCGCAAAUCCCACGCUGCCAAGAAAAGCUUCUAACGUUAAUAUUUGACUGCCCGUACUGCAAACCGACACAGGUGGUCAGGAUGAGAAAUCUAAGGCGGACAGGCUAACUCUCGUUAAGGAACUCUGCAAAAUAACCUCGUAACUUCGGGAGAAGAGGAGCCCUUGAGGGUCAGUAUCCACGCGAUACAAAGCGCUCGAGGGUCGCAGUGAAGAGGCUCAAGCAACUGUUUAACAAAAACACAGGUCUAUGCUAAGCUGGAAGGCGAUGUAUAUGGGCUGACACCUGCCCAGUGCUGGAAGGUUAAGAGGAGGAGUGAGAGCUCCGAAUUGAAGCCCCAGUGAACGGCGGCCGUAACUAUAACGGUCCUAAGGUAGCGAAAUUCCUUGUCGGGUAAGUUCCGACCUGCACGAAUGGUGU